CCUUCAUCCAGGAACAGGACAACUGACAUAAUGAGGCACAGAAUCCUGUGUACAAACAUCCACAGCAGCUUUCUGUGUCACAGCCCCACAGUGCAAACAUCCCCAAUGUCCCCUGCCAGGCGUGUGGUCCUGUCCACCGUGCAGCCGCAGCACCGACUGGGUGCAGCUUCCAGAUGGGAAGCAGCAGACUGCUGGCCCCACAGGAGGAUGCCGAGCAGAAGGCACACAGUGAGAGAGAGAGAGGCAGAGACACAGGCAGAGGGAGAAGCAGGCUCCAUGCACCGGGAGCCCGACGUGGGAUUCGAUCCCAGGUCUCCAGCACCGCGCCCUGGGCCAAAGGCAGGCGCCAAACCGCUGCGCCACCCAGGGAUCCCGACGCCGUGAUUUCAGACUAUCACCCACUUCCUGAAACAGGUUUCUCCAGGUGAAUCUGAGUAACUUUGUUGGAAAAGAACACAUUUCCCCAGACAGUCGCAAAACCUCCAGUGGCCGAAGUGAGUGGUUCUCCAUCCCGGCCCUGGAGACCACGGUGCGCCUCGGUGGAACUCUGUCUAGAAGGGCGACACGUAAUCCGAGUGUUACAGGAAGGGGCAGACCGCCAGCGCCAUGAAUAUGGAAGCCCGGCCACCAAGAGGGUGCAAGGGGCCUGUCGAAAUGCUAGGGCCAUGAAUAAAAGCAAUUU